UUGCAUUAUGAUACAGGAAUUUGCUGGCUUUGUGUUUACAGAAGUACCUGACUAUGCCGGACUUUUGUGCAGCCUACGGAUGCUCUAAUCACCGCAGUCUGCAAACAAGAACCCGUGGGAUCACCUUUCACAUGUUUCCCAAAACCGAAGAGAGGAGGAGGCAGUGGGAACUCGCCCUAAGAAGGGACAUCUUCAGGUUCCAUGAGACGCAGCAUUAUGUUCCCCACAUAUGUUUAUGUUUGCUCAGUCUAAUAAACCCAUAACAUGGUUGUGAAAGAAUA